GGGGGGAGCAGAGGUUGGUGGUGUUCCCGUGUUGUGGGGCCAGCAUUUAAUGCAAAAUCUCAUCCAAUCCUGCUUGCUAUUUUUGGAGAAAUCAUGCCAUGAACACUGUCAAGCCAAGAUGAGAAAUAAUUCUCUUGAUAUGUCCAUCAAGAAAAGACUCGAGACCUACACAUCAACGAGAGGGAAACCAAGUGGAUGCAGUUACUUAAACACAGUCUGGCAUGCAUGUUGUUGAAGCUCAGUCUCGGGAACCAGCUGACCGUGCUUCAUGUUGAAGAGCCGCCAUGAUCAUCAAGAAUGUCCGACUAAACGCAAGUAUAGGUACCAUAGGUAUUGAAAUGCAGUGUCCCAGCACCAAGUACAGUAAUCAACUCUCAGCACCUGACAUGUUGAAGAGGUAUCACUGUUUGAAGCACUACUCGUGGAAAAGACAGUAUUUAGCAAACUCAUUUCUUGGGUGUCCAAUCUACUUGCCCUGCAGCUAAUUUAAGUUCUAAAAGAGAACAGUAAUUGCAGUCAUGAAAUGUAAUAAGAUGUAAUGGCUAAUUACAAGUAUAUUUAAUUUGGAAGUAAUCUGAAGGUUGUCAAAAUAUUAUAUUAAACUGUGAAAACUAAAUUUAGAAAAUGGGAACCUGCAGGAACUUUCAACAACUGUAGGAAGUUAUACAAACCAAUUUUUAACCUAAUUAAAAAUAAGCUGUAAAAAGUACCAUAAGUGCUUCAGUAUAGCAGAGUUUUAUCAAGAGAACAUUUAAUCGUCCAUUUGUUUGUGGUGAAAUAAUGGAAUAAUUUAUCCAGUUGUAGUGAAAUACAAUAACUGAAUAAUUAAUUAACUUCUUAAUAUAAUUGUGAAAUUCAGUAGCAAAUUACUACAGAAACCCAAUUAGUAAUGUAAGAAAAUAGUUUUUUGUGCUCUAUUUUGUUAUAUAUUUAAAAUUUAAAUAUGAUUUUGUUUAUAAACAUGUAAAUAUAAAAUUUAGUGUACAGUAGGUAAAAAAAAAAAACUGCAGCACAAGGUUAAAAGCGCAUUACAUUUGCAAAGGAAGAAUUGGUUUCAUUAGCAAGACAGAAUGCCAAGUGCUGACUAUAAUGGAUAUUCAAUUGUUGGUCACAACAGGAAGCCAAGAUCAUAGCUGGAACAGCAAUAGCACAUAAGCUAUCUAUAACAUCAGUAUAGCUUGAAUAACGGCAGCCAAAAACUACCGAGGUAAUUGUAAUCUGAUCCCUUAUUUAACAAUGAAAGCAAUUCAUUACAUUGUACUUAUCUACCAGUAGCUAAUGAAGUCAUUUCUGCGCUGUUCCAGAGAUUAGUGAAUUUUUACCAGUUAGAAAAUUGUAAUUUCCGUGUUUCGGGGGCUGGUCAAGGGUUUUUACUGGUGGGGCUAGUUGUAUAUCUUGUACUCCAUACCUUUACAAAGAUUUGGAGGUGUUGACCAGACCACACACUAGAAGUUGAAGGGACGACGACGUUUCGGUCCGUCCUGGACCAUUCACAAUCGACUUGAGAAUGGUCCAGGACGGACCGAAACGUCGUCGUCCCUUCAACUUCUAGUGUGUGGUCUGGUCAACAUACUUCAGCCACGUUAUUGUGACUCAUCGCCUGCAUUUGGAGGUGUAUUUCUUUUGGUGAAAUAGAGAAAGUGUAUUUCAAUUUAGCUAAAAAUUGUCAAGAGAAGUAAAGUUUUCUUAGGACAACUUGUAUGGAUUUUGUAUUGGCUAAAUCUUCAAAAGAACUUUAGUUCACUGAAAUAUAGUGAAACAAAUAAUUAUAGCAACAAAAUAAUAAAGGCAAAAAUGAUUGAAGCAAAAUUGAAAGUGAUUCUGUGUGCUUGCUUUUUCAUGGCUUAAAAGGGACUGAUUUUGAGAAUUCACGACAAAUCAAUUUCAGUUUUGUGACUCGCGUGAUUUUAUUGGAGGGUUUUUUAUUUAAUGUGUUGAACCCACCAUUCACCUGCCACUGGACAUCGACUGUUCCUAUUGGUUAUUCCAAGUGUCAUGUGAUGUGUUCAGGACCUGUAAUAAGUUCAGAAUAAUGUACAGUCCUUUAGUGUUUUUGUAAGAUAACUGUUCACAAGUUACUUCCCUUCUCUUCUUAGCAAUGAACAUAAUGUAAAUAUGUAACAAUGUCAUUUUGCCACUUGAAAAGGCUUUACCUCCUGUUUAUGUUAGCAUCGAAAAAUACUUUAAUUCAAGGGUAUUUUGCCCCUAAUUUUGUUAAAAAUUGUGUACAGCUCUUACAAAUGUUUUCCUUUGUUGCUUGUACAUAUAUAAGAUAUGCACUGAAGUAAUAUUUUGGGGUCGAGAGAUUGGUCUCGUAUAGAUUGGAAGAAAGAUAAUUUCAGCGAGUGCAAAUAUUAACCAUACCGAUAAAUGGCAGAACUGUUGUCACUCGAGUACGAAAGAUUAUUAUUGUUGAAAUACUCCUAAUUGGUCUUAUUCAUUAUACUAAUAACAAAUACCAAAAAGGGUGCUUUAUGACGCAUGUUAAUUUGUUUGUAAAUACAUGUAGGACUCUGGUCA
rnacentral:misc_RNA from 1 species